GGAAUUAUGGCAGAGUGGUUUAUUGCGGCCGUCUUGAAAACGGUUUACUUAAUAGGUACGUUUGUUCGAAUCAGACUAAUUCCG
rnacentral:tRNA from 1 species